CACAACUUCCGUAAAGAUCCGUUGUUUGCUUGUUGAGCGCAUUUGGCUCAUCGGGACGAAGCACCCAGCAGUGGCACCCAGUCAGGGUACUUUCACACGACUGCGACUUCCUGAACAACUCCUGCCUCGUCUGGCUGAUGUGUCAUAUGGGAAGGUGGCGUCUUUAAGCAGACCUGGAUCUGAGUCCACUAAGAGCUAGAGAUGCGGACCAGUGAGAGCAGAGAAUGACAGUGCCUGCAACAAAUUCAAGAAGUGGUAGUAACAAUGGACUGAACAUUGACUGAGUUGCAUUAGGGCACAAUCCAAAUCUGGGAGAAACGCUGGUAAUUUCAGAGAAGUCACAUAAUACAUUCAGAUUAUUAUUGCUGUACAGUAUAUUUGCUGUAGAAGUUUCAGAAUACAGUCACAUAAUAAAAUAAAUAACAUCUAAUAAACAUGUAUCCACACAUUUCUAAUAAAAUUACAACAAAAUUAACUUCCAAAA